rnacentral:other from 1 species
GCCCUGCGAUGUACGUGAUACCCCGACAGUUUUGAGCCAACACUUUAUCAACGGGAUUCUGGACGUCACGAUCAGGAUUGGAUGCCGUGUCAUACGCGGACCCGUGAAUGGCCGUGCAGGAAACCCACCUGCCUAGGCAGGUUCAAAACUAAGGAGCCACGGCAUAAUGGGGCU